GACGAACGCUGGCGGCGUGCUUAACACAUGCAAGUCGAACGGAAAGGCCCUGCUUUUGUGGGGUGCUCGAGUGGCGAACGGGUGAGUAACACGUGAGUAACCUGCCCUUGACUUUGGGAUAACUUCAGGAAACUGGGGCUAAUACCGGAUAGGAGCUCCUGCUGCAUGGUGGGGGUUGGAAAGUUUCGGCGGUUGGGGAUGGACUCGCGGCUUAUCAGCUUGUUGGUGGGGUAGUGGCUUACCAAGGCUUUGACGGGUAGCCGGCCUGAGAGGGUGACCGGCCACAUUGGGACUGAGAUACGGCCCAGACUCCUACGGGAGGCAGCAGUGGGGAAUAUUGCACAAUGGGCGGAAGCCUGAUGCAGCAACGCCGCGUGCGGGAUGACGGCCUUCGGGUUGUAAACCGCUUUCGCCUGUGACGAAGCGUGAGUGACGGUAAUGGGUAAAGAAGCACCGGCUAACUACGUGCCAGCAGCCGCGGUGAUACGUAGGGUGCGAGCGUUGUCCGGAUUUAUUGGGCGUAAAGGGCUCGUAGGUGGUUGAUCGCGUCGGAAGUGUAAUCUUGGGGCUUAACCCUGAGCGUGCUUUCGAUACGGGUUGACUUGAGGAAGGUAGGGGAGAAUGGAAUUCCUGGUGGAGCGGUGGAAUGCGCAGAUAUCAGGAGGAACACCAGUGGCGAAGGCGGUUCUCUGGGCCUUUCCUGACGCUGAGGAGCGAAAGCGUGGGGAGCGAACAGGCUUAGAUACCCUGGUAGUCCACGCUGUAAACGGUGGGUACUAGGUGUGGGGUCCAUUCCACGGGUUCCGUGCCGUAGCUAACGCUUUAAGUACCCCGCCUGGGGAGUACGGCCGCAAGGCUAAAACUCAAAGGAAUUGACGGGGCCCCGCACAAGCGGCGGAGCAUGCGGAUUAAUUCGAUGCAACGCGUAGAACCUUACCUGGGUUUGACAUGGAUCGGGAGUGCUCAGAGAUGGGUGUGCCUCUUUUGGGGUCGGUUCACAGGUGGUGCAUGGCUGUCGUCAGCUCGUGUCGUGAGAUGUUGGGUUAAGUCCCGCAACGAGCGCAACCCUUGUUCACUGUUGCCAGCACGUUAUGGUGGGGACUCAGUGGAGACCGCCGGGGUCAACUCGGAGAAAGGUGGGGAUGACGUCAAGUCAUCAUGCCCCUUAUGUCCAGGGCUUCACGCAUGCUACAAUGGCUGGUACAGAGAGUGGCGAGCCUGUGAGGGUGAGCGAAUCUCGGAAAGCCGGUCUCAGUUCGGAUUGGGGUCUGCAACUCGACCUCAUGAAGUCGGAGUCGCUAGUAAUCGCAGAUCAGCAACGCUGCGGUGAAUACGUUCCCGGGGCU
rnacentral:rRNA from 1 species